rnacentral:snRNA from 1 species
UUGCUUCAGCAGCACAUAUACUAAAAUUGGAAUGAUACAGAGAUUAGCAUGACCCCUGAGCAAGGAUGAUAUGCAAAUUCAUGAAGCGUUCCAUAAAAAA